rnacentral:lncRNA from 1 species
GAGCUCCAGAAAGCUUGAAGAUUCCCGUGUUCCUUCAAAUCAAGCCCAGAAAUGGAAAUCUGGUGUAGAACUAGUGAGGCAGUGAAGUCCAGCCUUUGAAAACAGAGAGACCUGCCAUGUAAGUAGCUGAGUAACUUCAUGCAAAGCCUCCCUCCAUAGUUCUAUUUU